rnacentral:rRNA from 1 species
UACGUAGGGGGCGAGCGUUGUCCGGAAUUAUUGGGCGUAAAGGGUGUGUAGGCGGCUUUGCAAGUCAGAUGUGAAAUGCCACGGCUUAACCGUGGGACUGCAUUUGAAACUGCAGGGCUUGAGUUCGGAAGAGGAAAACGGAAUUCCUAGUGUAGCGGUGAAAUGCGUAGAUAUUAGGAGGAACACCGGUGGCGAAGGCGGUUUUCUGGGCCGACACUGACGCUGAGGCACGAAAGCGUGGGGAGCGAACAGG